rnacentral:tRNA from 1 species
CAUUAAAUGACUGAAAGCGUAAGUUUUGAUUUUUUAAAUCAACUAAUAGUAAAAUAACGAUUACUUUUAAUG